UCUGUACUGAGCACUAGGAAUUAUUAUUCUAUGAAUGUGUUCGGAUUUGAGGAACUGCGACUAGAAAUAAACAUGCGCCGUCGAACGACCUAUUACAUUGCAAGUCUUCUGUUGCCAAUCUUUUUCAUGAAUUUCAUUCAGAUCUUGGUUUUUGUGUUGCCCGUGGAAUCUGGCGAGAGAGUGGGAUUUUCAAUCACCGUUCUCUUGGCCGUGGCUGUAUUCUUGACUAUGAUUCAAGAUAAACUACCCGAAGCCUCGGAGCCGAAUGUCUCAUACCUGACGUACAAACUGUUGGUGGAUAUGCUACUUGGUUGUGCAAUGGUAGUGGCAGUGGUAGUGGCAAUCAAAAUGUACCAUAAAACGGACAAUCAUCAGAUAUCCGGCAAACUCAGAGCGUUUACGCGCAGGAUGAACAUUUGUUGCAAGCGGAAACAAUCAGCGGUUUACAUCGAGGAGAAAGAGAAAUCCCCCGUGAAAUCCCCCGAGAAAUCUCCUGUGGAAUAUGUGAACGAUGAAGGUGACAGCAACGUUACUUGGAAUGACGUAGGAAAAGCUUUUGACAAGUUCUUUCUGAUCAUUUUCUUUGUUUUUUUGGUGUCUAACAAUUUUAUCUACCUCGUUGCAAUGGCUGCUAUAGAAACGUAAUUAUUUUAGACAAGAAAGCCAAGAAUUGUGGUAAGUUGAGGCAAUUCUUAGUCGCAACGAUAUUAUACUUCAUGAAUAAUGUUUCCAAGUUUUAUUUGUCAUUUAUAUCAAUUGGAUGACAAAAAUCAAGGACCAGUCGCGUUUUAUUUCAAAGUAAGAAAGGUGUUGUCACCUUUACUUAAAUACUAGUAUAGUGUGAAUCAUUCAGUAGUCAAAUUAUUCAUGUGGGCAUUCAUUAACGUGUUAUUUCUUAGGAACGGAUUCUCCUGUCUAUUUUACUUAUGUUCAUCGAAUGUAUCAUUACAUUGUUCACAUCCGUCUUCCUCCGUUUGUACAAAUGUAACGUUGUUAAAAUAUAAUAUGUGUGUAUAU
rnacentral:misc_RNA from 1 species